CUGGAUCUCGCCCAGGCCCGGGCCCUGCAGUCGUGGCCCUGGUUCAAGGGUCUGCCCCAGCGGGUCAACCUGCCCGCCCCCCGGGUACUCUGCAGACCUUCCGCCCUGCGCUGGGUCAAGCGGUGCUGUACCCGCUCCUGCUCAGCAUCGCUGGAGAAGCCGAGAUCCUCUCGGACCCAACGCUACGGCUACGGCCCCGACUCCUCCUUUCGAAAAUGAACUGAAGCCGCUGAAAGAAGACAGCAGUGAGCGGGAUGGAAAAGACUUAAUUCUACUAAUUAAUCUCCCAUAUAAAGGUUCUUGGGGACCCCGCCAGGA